ensembl:lncRNA
GUCAUAACAUGUUCCAAAGCCACUAGAAGAGCGGAUCAGAUAUGACUCAGAAUUCAUUUUGAACAGAUGCGCCACACUCCCUCAACCACUGUUUACUGCCUGAAACAUAAAGAUGUACCCAGUAACUGAAAGCUCAUUCUUCCAAGACCUCUCAUUGCCAAGGACAUGUCUGGCUGAGCAUCAGUGGUAGGAUCUGCCAAGGAAAAGUUACAGGAGAUUAAACAAGAAGCCUCCGGGGAAGUUCUCGAGUUCAGGGGCCUUCCUUCUGCUUCAUGACCAGCUGGCUGACGCCAUUUCUCUCUGACUCAUUCUAACCCAACGGAAAAUGUAAAACGUGCCUUGGAGCCCAGUGAUCUUCAUCCUACUGUCUGUGAAUGUGGUCACAGGCCUCAGUGAGCUGUACAUUAUUCUGAAAGAAUUCACAGGUAGGAUCCUGGAGGAGGACAGGAACAGACUGGAUGCUGCACAGCCCAGCACAGGGCCUUCUUCCCAUGACAAUGCUGAGCCUGUAAUCGAGAGGGUGCAUCCAUUAGGAGGGCUGAUGAAUAACCUGAUAUCACAUAAUCGACUGUUACAGAGUAGAGACUCUAAAAAGAGAAAAAUCAUGGCAAAGAGCCUCCCAGCAUUUAAUCCAUAUGGAGAAGAGUUGUCCUGGAAAGUGAUAAAUGAAACAGUGUGAGAACAUAAAAGUCUCACAUGCUUUGGACUAAGAACUGUACUCACUAGGACAACAAGAAAGUACAGGACAGUCUAGAGAGAGAUGGGUAUUUUCCUAACACCCGAAGCAGAAUGUAAAAGGGCAGAGGAGAAAACAGAUUAUACAGAAGGAUUAGGUAAUGGUGGAAAUAAAAAAAAGGGAAGAAAACUACACGAAGUUCCCCAAAUAAGAAUGUGAAGAGAUGUGAUGUAAGAUUCUUCCCAAACUGUCCUGCCAAGCUUACUGUAAGAAUUUCUGGGUCAUAUGAGGUCCAGUUUAUAAUCACAAGCACUAGGACUAAGCAAUUAAUCUCAAAUGAGCAAAGCUACCCUCAUGUGAAAGGCUUUGUGCUUUCAAAAAUUAGGGUGCUGCUGCUGCCAGCGAUGGCGAUUACUGUUGUCACAACAUCAACACCAAUAAAACACCAGCAAACUCUUCUAAAUGCUUUACAAGUCUCAGCUCAUUUAAUCCUCAUAAUAACUGCCUGGGUUGGAUCCCUUUUACAGAUGAGAAAACUGAGGCCAGGGAGGUUAAACAAGCUUUAAUGGCAC